UUGAAUACUCUGCUCCUUAGCUGAUUUACCUAAGCCUUUCAGGGUAUGGUAUCCGGCCGAUCGGUAUAGCGGGAAACGGCUAUGUCUCCCAUUUGGAAAGGAGCAAUAUUUUAAGCGGU
rnacentral:ncRNA from 2 species